rnacentral:misc_RNA from 1 species
GAUGAAGAACGUAGCAAAAUGCGAUAAGUAAUGUGAAUUGCAGAAUUCAGUGAAUCAUCGAAUCUUUGGACGCACAUUGCGCCCGCCAGUAUUCUGGCGGGCAUGCCUGUUCGAGCGUCAUUUCAACCCUCAAGCUCAGCUUGGUGUUGGGACUCGCGGUAACCCGCGUUCCCCAAAUCGAUUGGCGGUCACGUCGAGCUUCCAUAGCGUAGUAAUCAUACACCUCGUUACUGGUAAUCGUCGCGGCCACGCCGUAAAACCCCAACUUCUGAAUGUUGACCUCGGAUCAGGUAGGAAUACCCGCUGAACUUAAGCAUAUCAAUAAGCGGAGGA